UACAGAGGGUGCGAGCGUUAAUCGGAUUUACUGGGCGUAAAGGGCUCGUAGGCGGCCAACUAAGUCAGACGUGAAAUCCCUCAGCUUAACUGGGGAACUGCGUCUGAUACUGGAUGGCUUGGAUUCGGGAGAGGAAUGCGGAAUUCCAGGUGUAGCGGUGAAAUGCGUAGAUAUCUGGAGGAACACCGGUGGCGAAGGCGGCAUUCUGGACCGAUAUUGACGCUGAGGAGCGAAAGCCAGGGGAGCAAACGGG
rnacentral:rRNA from 1 species